rnacentral:misc_RNA from 1 species
GCAUUUUCACGACGCCAUUUUAUAUUUGUUCUUUCAAGUGUCGUGUAUAGAUUUUAAAGAGUUGAUAUAAUUUCCUACAUAUUUGGGAUAAAUAUAUUUCUAUCUUAACUAAAAGACAAAAAUGAGUGGAGGUGGAAAUAAUUCUGCAAGGCCUCCGCCGAGAAUUGAUGGCAUGAUAUCCCUUAAGGUGGAUAAUUUAACAUAUCGCACUACACCUGAAGAUUUGAGACGUGUAUUUGAAAGAUGCGGCGAGGUUGGUGACAUCUACAUACCCCGCGAUCGAUAUACCCGUGAAAGCCGUGGUUUUGCAUUUGUUAGGUUUUAUGAUAAACGCGAUGCAGAGGACGCACUAGAGGCUAUGGAUGGUCGUAUGUUAGACGGCAGGGAGCUACGCGUACAGAUGGCUCGUUAUGGUCGUCCAACUUCACCAACACGACGAACUAAUAACAGACGUGGCGGUGGUGGAGGUAGACGACGUUCUCGUUCACCUGUACGUAGGCGCUCUCGCAGUCCACGUCGUCGCUCGUAUUCGCCUAGAUCAAGGUCACGUUCUGCAGGUAGUCGAUCACCAGUACGACGCAGUAAAUUUUCACGAAGUCCAGUUGGUCGUAAAUCUUUGAGUCGUAGCCAAAGUCGUAAUGGUGCGCCAGGACGUAGCAUCUCGCGCAGUCGAAGCCGUUCGUAAAUAUUGUCGGAAAAAUAUUGAUUCAAUAAAUCAGAAUCCCCAAAAGAGCCACCAGUAUGCAUUAAAAAAUACUUUCAAACGUUGAUUAGUGGCGUAUACAUAUAUGAGUUUAGAGCUGCUAACUCAACAGGCAAACAAAGAUUGCUGUAAGGGCUGCUGUUAAAGUGCGAAAAAGAUUGAGGCAGACAUUAAGAAAGAAAUGUAUAUGAAUAUUUUGGGGCGAAAUGUGCAAGGCGCAGGAGGCAGAUUGAUAAAUUCGUUGAUGGCAGCUGCGUAGCGAAUUUAGUAUAACCGUACUCCUGCUACUCUUGUUGCUGCCACAGCCGCAGUUUGCAGUUGUUCCAGCGUAAUAUUUUUUACACCUUUUUAGCCGCUGAACUUAACAAAUUUGCUGUCAAUUAUGCUUAACACUUUGAUUUAUUUCUCGAACAACGCUUAGAGAAACGUAUUAAUUCAAGUGAUAAGCGUUAAUUUAUUCGAGUUCGCAUCAUUAAAGCUAACAAUUAUUGCUGUUUACUGACCAAA